GACGAACGCUGGCGGCGUGCCUAAUACAUGCAAGUAGAACGCUGAAGGAGGAGCUUGCUUCUCUGGAUGAGUUGCGAACGGGUGAGUAACGCGUAGGUAACCUGCCUGGUAGCGGGGGAUAACUAUUGGAAACGAUAGCUAAUACCGCAUAAGAGUAGAUGUUGCAUGACAUUUGCUUAAAAGGUGCAAUUGCAUCACUACCAGAUGGACCUGCGUUGUAUUAGCUAGUUGGUGGGGUAACGGCUCACCAAGGCGACGAUACAUAGCCGACCUGAGAGGGGGAGCGGCCACCCUGGGACGGAGACACGGCCCAGACGCCUACGGGAGGCAGCAGUAGGGAAUCGUCGGCAAGGGACGGAAGUCUGACCGAGCAACGCCGCGGGAGGGAAGAAGGUUGUCGGAUCGGAAAGCUCUGUUGUAAGGGAAGAACGAGUGUGAGAGUGGAAAGUUCACACUGUGACGGUAUCUUACCAGAAAGGGACGGCUAACUACGUG
rnacentral:rRNA from 1 species